rnacentral:rRNA from 1 species
UAGGGAAUCUUCGGCAAUGGACGAAAGUCUGACCGAGCAACGCCGCGUGAGUGAAGAAGGUUUUCGGAUCGUAAAACUCUUUUGUUAGAGAAGAACAAGGACGGUAGUAACUGAACGUCCCCUGACGGUAUCUAACCAGAAAGCCACGGCUAACUACGUGCCAGCAGCCGCGGUAAUACGUAGGGGGCAAGCGUUGUCCGGAUUUAUUGGGCGUAAAGCGAGCGCAGGCGGUUUCGUAAGUCUGAUGUGAAAGCCCCCGGCUCAACCGGGGAGGGUCAUUGGAAACUGGGAGACUUGAGUGUAGAAGAGGAGAGUGGAAUUCCAUGUGUAGCGGUGAAAUGCGUAGAUAUAUGGAGGAACACCAGUGGCGAAGGCGGCUCUCUGGUCUGUAACUGACGCUGAGGCUCGAAAGCGUGGGGAGCAAACAGG